UACGUAGGCAGCGAGCGUUGUUCGGAGUUAAUGGGAGUAAAGGGUGUGUAGGCGGUUGUUUAAGUUUGGUGUGAAAUCUCCCGGCUCAACUGGGAGGGUGCGACGAAUACUGAGCGACUAGAGUGCGGGAGAGGAAAGUGGAAUUCCUGGUGUAGCGGUGAAAUGCGCAGAUAUCAGGAGGAACACCAAUGGCGAAGGCAGCACUCUGGGACGGUACUGACGCUAAGGCGCGAAAGCGUGGGGAGCGAGCAGG
rnacentral:rRNA from 1 species